CUGGUCCUUGGGACAGCUUUUCCCAGCAGUAAAAAACUGGGGAAAUGCCAGCCUCAGCUCUACUUUCCAUCAACAGGAACACUGAAAGUAUCUGGUGUUGUAAUAUGGAUCCAGCAGAACACAAUGAAUUUUGCUAUGAGCUUGGAUGCAAUGUAAAUAAUUUAAACACAAAUCUUGAACUUUUCCUGCGAGCAAGACAUGAUGCAGCCUAGGUCAUCCACCUCAGAUUCUUACAUCAGAAGGCAAGUUGGAGAUGAGUUUACAUGUUUACAUGUGGUGAUUCUCAUUUCAAGAAUUUAAGGAACUAUAAGACAUAUUGGGGAAUUCCUAUGUUCUCCAUUUUUUUUUUUGUCUUCCCAAGAGGGCUCAAAUGGAAGAAGAAAUCACAGCAAUGUGACAUGAUGAAAUACACUGAUGACAGACUUUGAUUUCUUGCCAUACGCAGUAUGCACUGUGGUGCAGAGGACUCCGGUUGCUGUAAUUUUCAGAAGGAAGAAUAACGAUCACAGGGAACUGACCUCGUACUUGCUAUGACUGAAAAGUUCUUAAAGAAAACUCGUGGCAGGCAGUGGAUAGCAAGGAGGAGCAGCCCAAAAUC